UAGAUUAAGUUUAAAUAAAAAAUCAAACAAUGACUAGAUAUUAAAAAAAAAAAUAAUAAUUAAAAUGAUGCUAUAUUUAAAUCCAUUCUAUUUCACAGAGAAACCAACGAAAAAUCAAAUUUUUCUCCGCGAAUAUAAUUUGUAAUGCAAUCCUACUAUAUAACUCGUGUAAUAAAAGUUUCAUCGAUAUUUACUGUCUUCGGUAACCAUUACUGGUUUUUAAUGCAGAUUAUACAUGUUAUCGAUAAUUGAAAUCAAAAUUAUUAGGUACCAUAUUGUGAUAAAAAUUCUUUGUUUAAAUCUUUCUGAUAGGAAAAAAAAUAUAAAUUUUAUACAUCUAUUUUUUUCCUGUCAAUUUUACAAUAACAGUGUGACGAUUUAAUCAAGAAUUGUUGAUCGAUCUUUUUUCUUUUUCGUUUCAUUUGAAUUAAACAGACAGAAACUUGUUUCGAAAUUUAAAAUGAAUUUUUUAAUUUGUGCAAUUUGGUUCAAAGUUAAAUUUUUAGUAAGUUCAAUGAGUUAUUUAGAAUUUUAUUAUUUAUUGUUCAUGUGAAAUCUUGUGGCAUGUGGCAUGUAAUAAAUAACGUUAGAAAGUUCUAUAUGUUUGUUCGAAAAAUUUAAUCAAAGUAAAAGUAGAGUCGAGAUAUUGCUAUCAAAAGAAAACAAUCGAGAAUUUCUCGAUGCCAAGGUUCUUCAACGAAGAGGAAAAAAGCACGAAAUAAUUGAAAGAGUACUCCAAUUAUUUGGUUCCUGAAUGGACGGCGACUGGAAGCUUUUUAAUUCGAUAUUGUAACUUGAUUUUCCAACAUUUUGGACUAUAUCGACUGCAUUCAGUACAGCUUUUUGGCCGCGUAUUACAUUAUUUAGUUAAUAAAUUGCAUUCAAUCGUUCAAGUGAUCUUUGAAAUAAGGCCAAAUAUUAAUAAAAAACCGGAUAGAUCCAAUAAAAAUGGAAAUAGAGGGAAAUUGUGAAGGAAGCAAUUCUGAAAUGAUAGAAGCAGUAAUUAAGAGGAAACAAGAUGAAUUCUUGGGAAGGAGAGUCUUUAUCAUAGUAGGAGGAAAGAUUGGUCGUGGGAAGAACGACGACAAAAGAAGGCAAACUCAAGAUUUAAAUCUAGCUAGAGACAAUUUACAUGACGACACCUCCCUCGAAUCAUAGAAAUAAGAAGACAAAUAAGAAGAAGACAUUUCUGCUUUUAUUCAGACACAUUGAAUAAGUCGUUUACAUUGUAAACAGAAUGCCUCCUCGUUUCACUGAACAAACAGUGAGCCUUAACCAAGUUAAAACAAAUCUCGUUAAUAAUUCAUGAACCAUAGCACGACGAUUAUUUAAAUAAAUACGGAAUUGGAUUCCAGGCUGAAAAUCGUCAACGAAAAUAUCCAUUUAUUCUUGAAGGGAUCUAUCUUACAAUUGAAAAUAUAAUCGUAUAAAGGCCGGAAAUGUGUUGUUAGAAUGGCACAGAUAAUAUCAAAUGUUAAUUUCUUCUAAGCUUUGUAUUAUUUUCUCUCUAAAUACCGAAAAUCUCUAGAUAGAAUGCUGCGAUGAAUAACACUGGAGCAAGUAUAGUACCAAUGUUGGACCUUGCGAUUAGCUGUGUAUCAGGAUUUAGAAUGUUAUAUAGGGACAUGGUAUGACUAAGAAGUGAGGUAGUCAAGCCAGUAAUAGCCUACUCUAAAUAGUUGACAUUGUUCAUUGGUAAGAGGAAAAUAUAGUAUCUAAUAAUCAAACCUUUAUAUAUUACCAACCAUAUUACAUUAUUGUCAUUCACAUGCGACAUCCUUAAUCCUCUAUUAUUCUAAUUUUCAUUUUCACCCCUUCACAUUACAAUAAUAUUUCAA
rnacentral:lncRNA from 1 species